GACGAACGCUGGCGGCGUGCUUAACACAUGCAAGUCGAACGGAAAGGCCCUGCUUUUGUGGGGUGCUCGAGUGGCGAACGGGUGAGUAACACGUGAGUAACCUGCCCUUGACUUUGGGAUAACUUCAGGAAACUGGGGCUAAUACCGGAUAGGAUCUCCUGCUGCAUGGUGGGGGUUGGAAAGUUUCGGCGGUUGGGGAUGGACUCGCGGCUUAUCAGCUUGUUGGUGGGGUAGUGGCUUACCAAGGCUUUGACGGGUAGCCGGCCUGAGAGGGUGACCGGCCACAUUGGGACUGAGAUACGGCGCAGACUCCUACGGGAGGCAGCAGGGGGGAAUAUUGCAGAAUGGGCGGAAGCCUGAUGCAGCAACGCCGCGUGCGGGAUGACGGCCUUCGGGUUGUAAACCGCUUUCGCCUGUGACGAAGCGUGAGUGACGGUAAUGGGUAAAGAAGCACCGGCUAACUACGUG
rnacentral:rRNA from 1 species